ACGAACGCUGGCGGCAUGCCUAACACAUGCAAGUCGAACGCCCCGCAAGGGGAGUGGCGGACGGGUGAGUAACGCGUGGGAACCUGCACUUCAGUGGGGGAUAACGACGGGAAACUGUCGCUAAUACCGCAUACGCCCUACGGGGGAAAGAUUUAUCGCUGAUGGAUGGGCCCGCGUCGGAUUAGCUAGUUGGUGAGGUAACGGCUCACCAAGGCGACGAUCCGUAGCUGGUCUAGGAGGAUGAUCAGCCACACUGGGACUGAGACACGGCCCAGACUCCUACGGGAGGCAGCAGUGGGGAAUAUUGGACAAUGGGCGAAAGCCUGAUCCAGCAAUGCCGCGUGAGUGAUGAAGGCCUUAGGGUUGUAAAGCUCUUUUACCAGGGAAGAUGAUGACUGUACCUGGAGAAUAAGCCCCGGCUAACUCCGU
rnacentral:rRNA from 1 species